GUCGUCUGGCAGUUCACAAGUAGGGCAAAAAUAAAAACUUGGUAAAAGAAAUGCCUUUGAUCAAAAAAUGAAAAAAAAUCAAGGAUGUUAAGAGAGGAUUUUUUAUCAAGUAGGUACCAUAUGUAAUAAAAUCUUGUCGGAAAUUGGGCCGAAAUAUGACACAAUAUUUCGCGAAAUUGCGAGCUUUGUAGUGGGGAUAACUAAUAAUUUUUGCUUUAAAGUGUAGCGUAGAAUUUUCUUUCAUUUUGGAAAAAAAAUGAUAUGAAGGAUUUGAACUUUUUCAUAACGUUCAUUUCCCAAGAUGAUUUUUCUUUGAAAGCUCAACUUUUGUGUGAUUUGGUCAAUUGGGCAGAAUACACUAUUACACCCUUCAACGAAAUUUUGUUUCCCCAACAUGGGAACCUAGAAAACCUCCAAAGGUUCAAAUAAUGGGAUCAAUAAUAUUACUAGACAGCUACAAAAGAUUAUACAUCGAUACGAAAACUUUUGACCUUUUAUUUACUAUUUUAAUGAAUUAUUUAAGAAAUUAUCCUAUAAUAAUUGGAAAGGUAGUUAUAAGGAAAAUACGUUCGGUGAAUCGUAAUUUGUCGAUGAAAGUUCUAUUAUUUGAGCAGAAAAAAAGGUUGUUCUAAGUCUUUGGCUAUAUUUUAAUGAAUAGGUAUUUUUUUUUUACUCAUUAAAUUUAUUUUUUAAAUCAUUAAUUAUCAAAAUAAGGGCUUAGGUUAAACAAAUAAAUGUGCAUGCAUGCAUAUUAAAAAAUUCGCGCACAAUUAAUAAAUCUUAAACUUGAUUGUAUUUGUUAUUCGAAUUCAAGAUGAUAACCAAUAUUUUACGAAUGUCUAUAAAAGUAAAUGCAGAGGUCGUUUUUAUUUCAAAUCUCUAGUUUCACACUGCAAAACAAAGUCAUUCUUUCGUCCAUUGUUCGUACGUUCGUUCGGUUCUUUUUUUCAAUAUGCAUUCUUAUUUUAAAUACACUUGUUACCUAUUGGUAAUUUCGUGCUAUUUGCACAUUGCUACCGCGGCGCAAUGUACAAGCCCAAAAUCGUCGAUAUUUUGUAGCCGUGUUAAUAACGGCGCAGAUGUUAUAAAAGAAGCUGACAAAGACAACGAUGGAAAACUCAAUGAAAAAGAGGCAUUAGACUAUCUUAAAAAUACAACUUUUAUCAGAUGGGCAGAUGGAACGCUCAAAUUAGAAAUCAAGUCGAUAGAUAAAAAUCACGAUGGAUACGUGACCGCAGAAGAAAUCGAUUUUCCGGCUUCGACUUCACCUAGCCAACCGCACAGCUCCAACCAACCGAAAGACAUCAUAAAACAAAAUGACAAAAACCAUGAUGGAAAACUCGAUUACGCCGAAGCACGUGAAGGUUUUCCCCCUGUACUCCCAUUCAAAUUGUCAGCUGAAGCACUUGAAAAUGAAAUCAAGGCGUUGGAUAGAAAUCACGAUGGAUAUUUGGAAUUGGAUGAAUUCAAUGGAACCCCAACGACUACGUCAAAACCAUCAAAACCAUAAUUACAGAGAUCGACGUUUUUAUUAAAUACUUAGGUACCUGAGUUGGUAACGUGAAGUAGAUUAUCGUAAUUUUUUUUUUCGAAUUGCUUAUUUAUUCAUUUAUAGUACUUUUAAAGUCGAUUAAUUUUCAAAUGAAUUUAAAAAAUGAUUGUUAUUUGCCAGGGAUACAAAAAUAAAUGCUUAUUUCUCA